rnacentral:rRNA from 1 species
UAUCUCUGUAGAGUCUGCAUAUCAAUAAGCGGAGGAAAAGAAACUAACAAGGAUUCCCUUAGUAACGGCGAGUGAAGCGGGAAGAGCUCAAAUUUGAAAUCUUCAAGGUUCUACCUUGACGAAUUGUAGUUUAAAGAAGUGUUUUCUGUUAGAUGAGUAGCAAAAGUUCCUUGGAAUGGGACAUCAUAGAGGGUGAGAAUCCCGUAUUUGACCAUUACUUCCAGUGUUGUGAUACACUUUCAAAGAGUCGGAUUGUUUGGGAAUGCAGUCCAAAAUGGGUGGUAAAUUUCAUCUAAAGCUAAAUAUUGGCGAGAGACCGAUAGCGAACAAGUACCGUGAGGGAAAGAUGAAAAGAACUUUGAAAAGAGAGUUAAACAGUACGUGAAAUUGUCAGAAGGGAAGCGUUUGACACCAGUGUUGUUUUCUCGAAAAUCAAUUAAAAAUGGCUUGAUUUUGUGUUGUAUUGACCUUAAAAGCUUUCUUCACUUCUUUCAUGUCUUUUUUAAUGCACUUUUCGUUUAACAAGUCAACAUCAGUUUCUUUUGUUGUAAAAAGGUCAUUGGAAGGUGGCUUUCUUUUCGGAGAAAGUGUUUAUAGCCUUUGACUUCUGCAAUCGGAGAGACUGAGGUCUGCAGCGUAGAUCCUUCUGGACUAGAUUCAUUUGUGCUAAGUUACAACCGUUUAUAGACAACUUGUUGACUAUAUUCGAUCCUGUAGCUUACUCGCUUAUGUAAUUUUACCUACGCUUAGGAUGUUGAUCUGUAGUGCGUGCGC